GACAGAGGGUGCAAACGUUGUUCGGAAUUACUGGGCGUAAAGCGCGUGUAGGCGGCCAUCUAAGUCGGGCGUGAAAUCCCACGGCUCAACCGUGGAAGUGCACUCGAAACUGGAUGGCUAGAGUCCUGGAGAGGAAGGUGGAAUGCUUGGUGUAGAGGUGAAAUUCGUAGAUAUUGGGAAGAACACCGAUGGCGAAGGCAGCCAUCUGGACCGACACUGACGCUGAGGCGCGAAAGCGUGGGGAGCAAACGGG
rnacentral:rRNA from 1 species